rnacentral:tRNA from 1 species
UCCCUGGUGGCUCAGAGGUUAAAGCGUCUGCCCGCAAUGCAGGAGACAGACCUAGGUUCGAUCCCUGGGUCGGGAA